UCCCUUGUGAUCAAGCAGUCAAGACUCUGCACUUCCAAUGCAGAAAGCACAGGUUCAAUCCCUGAUCAGGGAA
rnacentral:tRNA from 1 species